UUAGCUCUCCUCCUUGGGGCCCUUUGCUUUGCAAACGGAUAGAUUUCUGUGAUCGAAGUGUUUUCUCUGCUUUCGGAAAAGCCUUGCAGGUUUGUCCAUAUUCUUAAUAGAUUUCUCUAGAAGGUUAUUUUUCCUCCGAAUUUUUUACUUAGGUUAUCUUUGGAAUUUCAUCCAUGUGCCUGUUUCUAAAAACGGUGGUGGUGGUUUUUCCCACGCAUGAACAUUUCACAUGUGUUUCACCAUUUUUGUAAAGUUAUCCAGUGCUUUCAGUUCGUAGAGCACAUCUUGAUGUGUCCUUGACGAGUCGAUGUAAUUUUUCUUAUGCCGUUUGAACAAGUAUGUUUCCUCUGUUCCGAAUAUGGUUUCAAGCAUGUCUGUUGAUGGCCUCCGUGCUGCUGUUGUUCCAGAACGGACCGAACAAUACACUUGUUCAAGACGCAGCAACGGAACUAAGGUCACCUCAUGUCUUCCGCUGAAUCGCCGCAUUCGCUACGGAUUCCGGGAUGAUUUUCCUGCUUUUAGUAAUAAGCACUUUGUUAAAAUUCUGUGAAAGCCAGUCUUGCCUUUCCGCUGCAAAAAGACUGGAUGCAUGCUCCUGACACAGCAGCCCUUUCCUCACUACUAGUGAGGUGCCUGAGUGGAUAAAGUAUAAAGUGCAUCCGACCGUGCGUUGCUCUGCUCCUGUGAUAAACAGGAGUGCUGGGAAAUGCAGAGAAAUACAUGACCAAAAGCACAAGGCGAUGUGAAGAGCCUCUCCCCCUAGGCUUUUACAGGAACAUAAUUCAUGACUGGUUUACAUUAAUCACUAAAUGAAGUUUUGUGUCUUCGCCGGAACUGUGAGAGUGUUGUCUUUGCUUAUGACAACACGAAUUGCCAAAGGGCAGGAUUUGUUUAUAUUAUGUGUGCGGGUUCUCUGGCUGAGUACAUAGUCAGGACUGAGUGGUAAAUUAAAGAUUCCCAAAAGACAAGCCUCCUUGGCUCCGUUAUAUUACUAUGAUGAAUCUGUCAUUAAUACGGUUCUAAUUGUUUUAUUUUUACAGACAUAAAAUCAGUCCCCUUAGUGACUAAUAAUAGGGUUUAUUGAUUUUACUAAACAUUAUUCAUUCCAGGCCUGCUCAUAUCAGCCUGUCCUGGAACUUAUGCAGAAAGCCUGCCGUGCUGACGUAGUGCGAAUUAACUUCACGGAAAAAUGGGAGCGAAGACUUGUUUACAGCUGUGGUCCCAUCGAAGGCAGAGUCUUAAAAACAAGGAGGGAAGAAGCCUUUCUCGGCUCUGCCAGACGUCCCCUCAAGUCUCCUUGGCCAGAAUCAGGGCACAUGCUCGCUGCUGAACUAUCACGGAUGAGAUUGCUGUGACUUCCUCGGGCUAAGAAGGGUGAGACGCUGCCCCUGGGUCCUGCAUGGGAGAGGGGCACGGCGGCUUAGAACCAGCCUUCCGUUAGGGAGGAAGCCGAAGGAGGCGACUGUUCUGCUGUCUGAGGAUAAACCUCUUCCGGAGCCCAGUGGCCCUUGGCAGAUUCUCCCGACGUCCUCUGGUUCUCCUGAGAUCGAUCCAGUGCGAUCCAGUGGCAUUCUGAUUUUCCAAGGACUUCCAUGAGCCUGUCCGGAAUCAUCUUGGCCCUAAG